UAUAAGCACUUUAUACUGUGAAACUGCGAAUGGCUCAUUAAAUCAGUUAUCGUUUAUUUGAUAGUACCUUACUACAUGGAUACCUGUGGUAAUUCUAGAGCUAAUACAUGCUGAAAACCCCAACUUCGGAAGGGGUGUAUUUAUUAGAUAAAAAACCAAUGCCCUCCGGGGCUCCUUGGUGAAUCAUAAUAACUUAACGAAUCGCAUGGCCUUGCGCCGGCGAUGGUUCAUUCAAAUUUCUGCCCUAUCAACUUUCGAUGGUAGGAUAGUGGCCUACCAUGGUGGCAACGGGUAACGGGGAAUUAGGGUUCGAUUCCGGAGAGGGAGCCUGAGAAACGGCUACCACAUCCAAGGAAGGCAGCAGGCGCGCAAAUUACCCAAUCCCGACACGGGGAGGUAGUGACAAUAAAUACUGAUACGGGGCUCUUUUGGGUCUCGUAAUUGGAAUGAGUACAAUCUAAAUCCCUUAACGAGGAACAAUUGGAGGGCAAGUCUGGGCCCAGG
rnacentral:rRNA from 1 species